rnacentral:rRNA from 1 species
AGUUGAAGUGUGGGUGAUCGCUGUUGUGAGACUUCGGUCUCUCGACAGUAAGUCACCCCCUUCCAGUAUCCAGUAGUGGGUAUUCAGUUACUUACUAUUGUGUGUUGGUCCUUUACUGUGAGAAAAUUAGAGUGUUCAAAGCAGGCGUUUGCUUGAAUAGAUUAGCAUGGAAUAAUAAUUGAAGGCUUUCGUGUUCGAUUUGAUUGGUUUGUUCAUGGAAGCAAGGUUAAAAGGAACAGUUGGGGGUAUUCAUAUUCACUAGUUAGAGGUGAAAUUCUCGGAUUUAUGGAAGAUGAACAAGUGCGAAA